rnacentral:rRNA from 1 species
AUACGGGGGGAGCAAGCGUUGUCCGGAAUCAUUGGGCGUAAAGGGCACGUAGGCGGUUUCUUAAGUCGAAUGUGAAAUCUCACGGCUCAACCGUGAAACUGCGUUCGAAACUAAGUGACUUGAGUUUGGGAGAGGUGUACGGAAUUCCUGGUGUAGCGGUGGAAUGCGUAGAUAUCAGGAAGAACACCAAUGGCGAAGGCAGUACACUGGCCUGAAACUGACGCUGAGGUGCGAAAGCGUGGGGAGCAAACAGGAUUAGAUACCCCAGUAGUCC